rnacentral:rRNA from 1 species
CUACGGGCCGCUCCAGGCGAGAAAACUUUGCAAUGUGCGAAAGCACGACAAGGUUAAUCCGAGUGGUUUCUGCUAAAGGAACCUUUUGACAGUCCUAGAAACACUGUUGAAUAAGGGGUGGGCAAGUUCUGGUGUCAGCCGCCGCGGUAAAACCAGCACCUCAAGUGGUCAGGAUGAUUAUUGGGCCUAAAGCAUCCGUAGCCGGCUCUGUAAGUUUUCGGUUAAAUCUGUACGCUCAACGUAUAGGCUGCCGGGAAUACUGCAGAGCUAGGGAGUGGGAGAGGUAGACGGUACUCGGUAGGAAGGGGUAAAAUCCUUUGAUCUAUUGAUGACCACCUGUGGCGAAGGCGGUCUACCAGAACACGUCCGACGGUGAGGGAUGAAAGCUGGGGGAGCAAACCGGAUUAGAUACCCCCGUAGUC